AACGAGUACCGUGAGGGAAAGGUGAAAGAACCCCGAGAGGGGAGUGAAAGAGAACCUGAAACCACUCGCUUACAAGCAGUGGGAGCACGAUGCCGCAAGGCCGUGUGACCGCGUACCUUUUGCAUAAUGGGCGUGCGAGUUGCGUUUCGUGGCGAGGCUAAGCCGUCAGGUGGAGCCGCAGCGAAAGCGAGUCCGAAUAGGGCGAUCAGUCGCGGGACGCAGACCCGAAGCCCGGCGAUCUAUCCAUGGCCAGGAUGAAGCGCGGGUAAAACCACGUGGAGGUCCGAACCCACUAACGUUGAAAAGUUAGGGGAUGAGCUGUGGAUUGGAGUGAAAGGCUAAUCAAGCCGGGGGAUAGCUGGUUCUCCCCGAAAAAUAUUGAGGUAUUGCCUCGGAUGAAUUGCACCGGAGGUAGAGCACUGGAUGGGCUAGGGGUCUUACCGGACUACCAAACCCAACCAAACUCCGAAUGCCGGUGACAACUAUCCGGGAGACAGGCUG
rnacentral:rRNA from 1 species